rnacentral:rRNA from 1 species
AGUGAACGCUGGCGGUAGGCCUAACACAUGCAAGUCGAACGGCAGCACAGUAAGAGCUUGCUCUUACGGGUGGCGAGUGGCGGACGGGUGAGGAAUGCAUCGGAAUCUACUUUUUCGUGGGGGAUAACGUAGGGAAACUUACGCUAAUACCGCAUACGACCUACGGGUGAAAGCAGGGGAUCUUCGGACCUUGCGCGAUUGAAUGAGCCGAUGUCGGAUUAGCUAGUUGGCGGGGUAAAGGCCCACCAAGGCGACGAUCCGUAGCUGGUCUGAGAGGAUGAUCAGCCACACUGGAACUGAGACACGGUCCAGACUCCUACGGGAGGCCGCAGUGGGGAAUAUUGGACAAUGGGCGCAAGCCUGAUCCAGCCAUACCGCGUGGGUGAAGAAGGCCUUCGGGUUGUAAAGCCCUUUUGUUGGGAAAGAAAAGCAGCAGGUUAAUACCCCGCUGUUCUGACGGUACCCAAAGAAUAAGCACCGGCUAACUUCGUG